rnacentral:rRNA from 1 species
AUUUGAAAGCUGGCGUCUUCGACGUCCGCGUUGUAAUUUGUAGAGGAUGCUUCGGCGAGGACUCCUGCCUAAGUUCCCUGGAAUGGGACGUCACAGAGGGUGAGAAUCCCGUAUGUGGCGGGCGGUCCAAGCCAUGUGAAGCUCCUUCGACGAGUCGAGUUGUUUGGGAAUGCAGCUCUAAAUGGGAGGUAAAUUUCUUCUAAAGCUAAAUACCGGCCAGAGACCGAUAGCGCACAAGUAGAGUGAUCGAAAGAUGAAAAGCACUUUGGAAAGAGAGUUAAAAAGUACGUGAAAUUGUUGAAAGGGAAGCGCUUGCAACCAGACUCAUUCGCAGUUGCUCAGCCCGCCUCUUGGCGGGUGUACUCUUCUGCGGUCGGGCCAGCAUCAGUUCGGGCGGCUGGAUAAAGGUGUCGGG